AUUGAACGCUGGCGGCAGGCCUAACACAUGCAAGUCGAACGGUAACAGGAAGAAGCUUGCUUCUUUGCUGACGAGUGGCGGACGGGUGAGUAAUGUCUGGGAAACUGCCUGAUGGAGGGGGAUAACUACUGGAAACGGUAGCUAAUACCGCAUAACGUCGCAAGACCAAAAAGGGGGACCUUCGGGCCUCUUGCCAUCGGCUUUGCCCAGAUGGGAUUAGCUAGUAGGUGGGGUAACGGCUCACCUAGGCGACGAUCCCUAGCUGGUCUGAGAGGAUGACCAGCCACACUGGAACUGAGACACGGUCCAGACUCCUACGGGAGGCAGCAGUGGGGAAUAUUGCACAAUGGGCGCAAGCCUGAUGCAGCCAUGCCGCGUGUAUGAAGAAGGCCUUCGGGUUGUAAAGUACUUUCAGCGGGGAGGAAGGGAGUAAAGUUAAUACCUUUGCUCAUUGACGUUACCCGCAGAAGAAGCACCGGCUAACUCCGUG
rnacentral:rRNA from 1 species